CAUUCUGGGUAAAAGAAAAAGUGAAAAGACCAAGAAGUGAUUUCAAGAUAAAUUAAAGAAAGGGAUUGACUCUAGAUCCGUGGUGCACAUGCCUGGACACCCAGUUGUGCUCCGAGACUCAUGGGAACCCAGGGAGUUCUCUACUAGGCCUUAUAGUUAGCGACCGUUGACGUAACUAGAGGCAGUUGGAGCGGUGAGGAGAUGAGUCAGAAGGAAGGCAAAUGAAGGAGACAGAGGGGAAGAGUGGGAUUUAAAGCUUUUCGUGGAGAAGUUCAAAGGGUUGCCGGGAGGAGAGUGAUGGAGCUUGAGCGGCCGGAAAUGUCAUUGACGAGGUGAGGUGGAAGGAAGUACAUGGAAGAAGGCAAGCGCACUCAGAGAAUUUGGAAUCAGGUCGGAGGAGGGAAGGAGUGCUGGGAUUAGCCAACUUUGAUGAUGAACACUGCAACCCCCCAGCACUGCAGGGGCUGAAGCAGGAAGAUUGUGCCUUCCAAGCCUGGCUUGGCUACUUGGUAGCCAUGCCUGGUCACAGCACAGCACCAUGGCUUCAAAUAUAAGAGGGGCAUAUGGACUGUUUCCUCAGUGAAUCUUCCGCACAAGAAGUAUACUGUGCAAGUUGGAGUCUAUACUAUUCAAUGAGUUGUUAUUUUCAAAUCACGCCAGAGGAUGAUGAAUGAAAAUCACUAACUCAGUAUAAGGUGCCUUCGAAAGAUGUCAUUUCAUCUAAAUGACUGUUUAAUGAGAGUUAAAAGGGCCAUGCUGCUGAGCCUCAUAGCUGCAGCUAAAGACAAUUGGUAAGUUAAAGGUAUGGUUUGCAACUCUCUAUGAAUGGCAAAAUGAAUCUGGAGCAUGCUUUGUAACUCAAAGAGCUUAUCUCAGUUCAAAUGUCUCCUACCACCUGUUUCCACCGUUAACUUGCUAUAUGCCUAGGUAUUACACCCUCCUGAUCAAUACAGUUCUAAUCCUAAGUCAUAUGAAAAAAUCCACUUGGGGCUUGGGGCAUAAGCUAAAUGCACAAUAUAUACUUGUAUAAAAAUGUUUUUUUUUAAAAAGAAAAUAUACUUGGAUACAUACGUA